rnacentral:snRNA from 1 species
GUACUCGCUUUGGCAGCACGUAUAUUAAAAUUGGAAAGAUACAGAGCAGAUCAGCAUGGCCCCUACACAAGGGUGACAUGCAAAUUCAUGAAGCAUUCCAUAUUUUU